UGGAGUUGGGGUCCUAAAGUAGUGUGGGAUAAGGGUCCCAAAGUAGUGUGGGAUAAGGGUGGAGUUGGGGUCCUAAAGUAGUGUGGGAUAAGGGUGGAGUUGGGGUCCUAAAGUAGUGUGGGAUAAGGGUGGAGUUGGGGUCCUAAAGUAGUGUUUAAUUUGAGGGGAUUGCCUGUUUUUUCUAUAUUCCGUACAGCAUGUGAUAUUUCUCUAAGUAAAUGUUGAUGCUGAAGUCAUCUGGCCAUGUUGGAAAUGCUGAUGUGAACAUUUAGACCUGAAAUGAUUCAUGGCCUGAUUCAGAAUAAUUCUCAAUGUACCGCUUUUUAUUUUUACGUGGUUGUUUCCCCAACUUGUAGAUUCAGAAAUGUCAGAAGGGACAAUUAUUUUAAAUAUGUUUUCAUGCUGUCGUAUAUUGCAGAGGGCAGGUAUGCCAUCAUAUGUAGUGGAUCUGUGGAUGUUUUGAGGCAGUGCUACAGAAUAAAACAUGUGACUAUGUUGGGAAACAACCCUGACAUUCUUCCCACACAGAGAUGUAAUCAUGACCAAAGUCAGAGAGAGGACAUGGAAAAUAAAGAUGGAACUGACACGUUA